rnacentral:tRNA from 1 species
GCCCGGGUGGUGUAGGGGUCUAUCAUGGAGCCCUGUCGAGGCUCCGACUCGGGUUCAAAUCCCGACCCGGGCG